UGCAGUUAGGGGUCGCAAGACACCAGCGAACCGCUCAGUAACACUCGGAUAAUCUAGCCCCAAGUGGAGUAUAGCCUCGGGAAACUGAGGGUAAUUCUCCAUAGCCAUUAUAUGCUGGAAUGCUUUGAUGGUGAAAGCUUCGGCGCUUGAGGAUGAGUCUGCGGCCUAUCAGGUAGUAUGUGGUGUAAAGGACCACAUAGCCGAGGACGGGUACGGGCCUUGAAAGAGGGAGCCCGGAGAUGGACUCUGAGACAUUAGUCCAGGCCCUACGGGGCGCAGCAGGCGCGAAAACUGUGCAAUGCGCGAAAGCGCGACACGGGGAACCUGAGUGCCUUGACACAGUCAAGGCUUUUAUCAAGCCUAAAAAGCUUGAUGAAUAAGAGCUGGGUAAGACGGGUGCCAGCCGCCGCGGUAACACCCGCAGCUCUAGUGGUGGUCACUUUUAUUGAGCCUAAAGCGUUCGUAGCCGGUUCUGUAAAUCUUCAGAUAAAUUCAUUCGCUCAACGGAUGAUCUUCUGAAGAGACUGUAGAACUUGGGACCGGGUGAGGUUGAAUGUACUUCCGGGGUAGGGGUAAAAUCCUGUAAUCCUGGAAGGACAACCGGUGGC
rnacentral:rRNA from 1 species